rnacentral:tRNA from 1 species
GCAGGCUUAGCUCAGUUGGUAGAGCAACUGGUUUACACCCAGUAGGUCGGCGGUUCAAGUCCGUCAGCCUGCACCA